GCCAGACUCCUACGGGAGGCAGCAGUGGGGAAUAUUGGGCAAUGGGCGCAAGCCUGACCCAGCAAUGCCGCGUGAAGGAAGAAGGCCUUCGGGUUGUAAACUUCUUUUAUCAGGGACGAAGGAUGUGACGGUACCUGAUGAAUAAGCUCCGGCUAACUACGUGCCAGCAGCCGCGGUAAUACGUAGGGAGCAAGCGUUAUCCGGAUUUACUGGGUGUAAAGGGAGCGCAGACGGCAGUGCAAGUCUGGAGUGAAAGCCCGGGGCCCAACCUCGGGACUGCUCUGGAAACUGUACGGCUGGAGUACGGGAGGGGCAGGCGGAAUUCCUAGUGUAGCGGUGAAAUGCGUAGAUAUUAGGAGGAACACCAGUGGCGAAGGCGGCCUGCUGGACAGUAACUGACGUUGAGGCUCGAAAGCGUGGGGAGCAAACAGGAUUAGAUACCCUAGUA
rnacentral:rRNA from 1 species